rnacentral:rRNA from 1 species
UACGUAGGGCGCAAGCGUUAUCCGGAAUUAUUGGGCGUAAAGAGCUCGUAGGCGGUUUGUCGCGUCUGCCGUGAAAGUCCGGGGCUCAACUCCGGAUCUGCGGUGGGUACGGGCAGACUAGAGUGAUGUAGGGGAGACUGGAAUUCCUGGUGUAGCGGUGAAAUGCGCAGAUAUCAGAAGGAACACCGAUGGCGAAGGCAGGUCUCUGGGCCACUACUGACGCUGAGAAGCGAAAGCAUGGGGAGCGAACAGG